rnacentral:rRNA from 1 species
UACAGAGGGGGCAAGCGUUGUUCGGAAUUACUGGGCGUAAAGGGCGCGUAGGCGCCUUCUAAGUCGAACGUGAAAUCCCUGGGCUCAACCCAGGAACUGCGUCCGAUACUGGAAGGCUUGAAUCCGGGAGAGGGAUGCGGAAUUCCAGGUGUAGCGGUGAAAUGCGUAGAUAUCUGGAGGAACACCGGUGGCGAAGGCGGCAUCCUGGACCGGCAUUGACGCUGAGGCGCGAAAGCCAGGGGAGCAAACGGG